rnacentral:rRNA from 1 species
AGUAACACGUGGGCAACCUGCCCUGAAGCGGGGGAUAACAUCUGGAAACAGGUGCUAAUACCGCAUAACAACGAAAACCACAUGGUUUUCGUUUCAAAGAUGGUUUCGGCUAUCACUUCAGGAUGGGCCCGCGGUGCAUUAGCUAGUUGGUAAGGUAACGGCUUACCAAGGCGAUGAUGCAUAGCCGAGUUGAGAGACUGAUCGGCCACAAUGGAACUGAGACACGGUCCAUACUCCUACGGGAGGCAGCAGCG